CUGUCCUUAGUACGAGAGGACCGGGAUGGACAUACCUCUGGUGUACCAGUUGUCGUGCCAACGGCAUAGCUGGGUAGCUAUGUGUGGACGGGAUAAGUGCUGAAAGCAUCUAAGCAUGAAGCCCCCCUCAAGAUGAGAUUUCCCAACUUCGGUUAUAAGAUCCCUCAAAGAUGAUGAGGUUAAUAGGUUCGAGGUGGAAGCAUGGUGACAUGUGGAGCUGACGAAUACUAAUCGAUCGAAGACUUAAUCAAAA
rnacentral:rRNA from 1 species